AGUGAACGCUGGCGGUAUGCCUAACACAUGCAAGUCGAACGGCAGCACAGUAAGAGCUUGCCCUUACGGGUGGCGAGUGGCGGGCGGGUGAGGAAUACAUCGCAAUCUACUUUUUCGUGGGGGAUAACGUAGGGAAACUUCCGCUAAUACCGCAUAUGACCUACGGGUUAAAGCAGGGGAUCUUCGGACCUUGCGCGACUGAAUGAGCCGAUGCCGGAUUAGCUAGUUGGCGGGGUAAAGGCCCACCAAGGCGACGAUCCGUAGCUGGUCUGAGAGGAUGAUCAGCCACACUGGAACUGAGACACGGUCCAGACUCCUACGGGAGGCAGCAGUGGGGAAUAUUGGACAAUGGGCGCAAGCUUGAUCCAGCCAUGCCGCGUGGGUGAAGAAGGCCUUCGGGUUGUAAAGCCCUUUUGUUGGGAAAGAAAAGCAGCGGGUUAAUACCCCGCUGUUCUGACGGUACCCAAAGAAUAAGCACCGGCUAACUUCGUG
rnacentral:rRNA from 1 species